AUUGAACGCUGGCGGUAUGCUUAACACAUGCAAGUCGAACGGUAGCAGGCCUUCGGGCGCUGACGAGUGGCGGACGGGUGAGUAACGCGUAGGAAUCUGCCUCAUAGUGGGGGACAACGUGGGGAAACUCACGCUAAUACCGCAUACGCCCUACGGGGGAAAGCGGGGGAUCUUCGGACCUCGCGCUAUGAGAUGAGCCUGCGUUAGAUUAGCUAGUUGGUAGGGUAAAGGCCUACCAAGGCGACGAUCUAUAGCUGGUCUGAGAGGACGAUCAGCCACACUGGGACUAAGACACGGCCCAGACUCCUACGGGAGGCAGCAGUGGGGAAUAUUGGACAAUGGGCGCAAGCCGGAUCCAGCAAUACCGCGUGUGUAAAGAAGGCCCUAGGGUUGUAAAGCACUUUCAAUUGGGAGGAAAACCUACCGGUCAAUACCCGGUAGCUUGACAUUACCUUUAGAAGAAGCACCGGCUAACUCCGUGCCAGCAGCCGCGGUAAAAC
rnacentral:rRNA from 1 species